rnacentral:rRNA from 1 species
GACGAACGCUGGCGGCGUGCCUAACACAUGCAAGUCGAACGGAGAUACGAUUUCGGUUGUAUCUUAGUGGCGAACGGGUGAGUAACGCGUGAGCAACCUGACCUUCAGAGGGGGAUAACACUUGGAAACAGGUGCUAAUACCGCAUAAGACCACGACCCGACAUCAGGAUGAGGUCAAAGGAGUAAUCCGCUGAGGGAGGGGCUCGCGUCCCAUUAGAUAGAUGGCGGGGUAACGGCCCACCAUGUCGACGAUGGGUAGCCGAGCUGAGAGGCUGAUCGGCCACACUGGAACUGAGACACGGUCCAGACUCCUACGGGAGGCAGCAGUGGGGAAUAUUGGGCAAUGGGCGCAAGCCUGACCCAGCAACGCCGCGUGAGGGAAGAAGGCCUUCGGGUUGUAAACCUCUGUCCUUGGUGACGAAACAAAUGACGGUAGCCAAGGAGGAAGCCCCGGCUAACUACGUGCCAGCCGCCGCAGUAACAC